AAUGAACGCUGGCGGCAGGCCUAACACAUGCAAGUCGAGCGAGCAUUUCGGUGCUAGCGGCGGACGGGUGAGUAACGCGUGGGAACGUGCCCUUUUCUGCGGAAUAGUCCUGGGAAACUGGGGGUAAUACCGCAUACGCCCUUUUGGGGAAAGAUUUAUCGGAGAAGGAUCGGCCCGCGUUGGAUUAGGUAGUUGGUGGGGUAAUGGCCCACCAAGCCGACGAUCCAUAGCUGGUUUGAGAGGAUGAUCAGCCACACUGGGACUGAGACACGGCCCAGACUCCUACGGGAGGCGGCAGUGGGGAAUCUUAGACAAUGGGGGCAACCCUGAUCGAGCCAUGCCGCGUGAGUGAUGAAGGCCUUAGGGUUGUAAAGCUCUUUCAGCUGGGAAGAUAAUGACGGUACCAGCAGAAGAAGCCCCGGCUAACUCCGUG
rnacentral:rRNA from 1 species